AGAGUUUGAUCUUGGCUCAGGAUGAACGCUGGCGGCGUGCCUAACACAUGCAAGUCGAACGGAGAAUACAUUUUUAAAGCACUUAGCUUGCUAAGCGUGGAAAUGUUGUAUUCUUAGUGGCGGACGGGUGAGUAACGCGUGGAUAACCUGCCUCACACUGGGGGAUAACAGUCAGAAAUGGCUGCUAAAACCGCAUAAGCGCACAGCAUCGCAUGAUGCAGUGUGAAAAACAUUAGUGGUGUGAGAUGGAUCCGCGUCUGAUUAGCUAGUUGGUAGGGUAAGAGCCUACCAAGGCGACGAUCAGUAGCCGGCCUGAGAGGGUGACCGGCCACAUUGGGACUGAGACACGGCCCAAACUCCUACGGGAGGCAGCAGUGGGGGAUAUUGCACAAUGGGGGAAACCCUGAUGCAGCGACGCCGCGUGAGCGAAGAAGUAUUUCGGUAUGUAAAGCUCUAUCAGCAGGGAAGAAAAUGACGGUACCUGACUAAGAAGCCCCGGCUAACUACGUGCCAGCAGCCGCGGUAAUACGUAGGGGGCAAGCGUUAUCCGGAUUUACUGGGUGUAAAGGGAGCGUAGACGGCAAGACAAGCCAGAUGUGAAAGGCAGGGGCUCAACCUCUGGAUUGCAUUUGGAACUGCCUGGCUAGAGUGUCGGAGAGGUAAGUGGAAUUCCUAGUGUAGCGGUGAAAUGCGUAGAUAUUAGGAGGAACACCAGUGGCGAAGGCGGCUUACUGGACGACAACUGACGUUGAGGCUCGAAAGCGUGGGGAGCAAACAGGAAAGAUCCCUGUAGUCCACGCGGUAAACGAUGAAUACUAAGGUGCCGGGGACCAAAAGGUGUUCCGGGGCCCCAACCAAACGCAAUAAGUAUUCCACCUGGGGAGUACGUUCGCAAGAAUGAAACUCAAAGGAAUUGGACGGGGACCCGCACAAGCGGUGGAGCAUGUGGUUUAAUUCGAAGCAACGCGAAGAACCUUACCAAGUCUUGACAUCCCAAUGACAGGGACUUAACCGUCCCCUCUCUACGGAGCAUUGGAGACAGGUGGUGCAUGGUUGUCGUCAGCUCGUGUCGUGAGAUGUUGGGUUAAGUCCCGCAACGAGCGCAACCCUUAUCUUUAGUAGCCAGCAGGUAGAGCUGGGCACUCUAGAGAGACUGUCGGGGAUAACCCGGAGGAAGGUGGGGAUGACGUCAAAUCAUCAUGCCCCUUAUGAUUUGGGCUACACACGUGCUACAAUGGCGUAAACAAAGGGAAGCAACCCUGCGAAGGCAAGCAAAUCCCAAAAAUAACGUCUCAGUUAAAAUUGUAGUCUGCAACUCGACUACAUGAAGCUGGAAUCGCUAGUAAUCGCGGAUCAGAAUGCCGC
rnacentral:rRNA from 1 species